AGGAGGGAACAAAGAAAAAUGUCAUCAACUGGUGAUGCAAGAUGAGCCCAAUCACUAAACACUGUUUAGCAAACUCCAAAUUCUGCAACCAGGCAGUAGAAGGCAUUUCAUACAGUUCAGCAGAGCUGCUGCACAAUGACUGGGUCCUUCUGCUUCUGAGAAUCAAACGGUCCUUUUUUGCUAAGGAAGAAAAUAAGCUGGAACGAACACUGUCAUAUCUUCUUCUUGAAGAAAGCUUUCAAUACAGAUGUUCACAGAAGCAACAUGGUGACAAUUUACCGGUGACUAAACAUGCCUUUGGAUGAUAUUUUAGCCUAAAUUCUUAGGAAAGUCCAGUGCUACUUUAAACAUCUACAUUUUGCCUAAAGAUGUAGGCGGGAACUUCUGCUUUCUACUUUGAUCAGAGCUAAGUCUAAGUCUACAGUAGCUACCAUUUAUUGAAAACCUACAACGUACUCAAUAUUUUAGCUAUCUCUGGUAGCUCAGCUGGUAAAUAAUCCACCUACAAUGCAGGAGACCCUGGUUCUAUUCCUGGGUCGGGAAGAUCCCCUAGAGAAGGGAUAGGCUACUCACUCCAGUAUUCAUGGGUUUCCCUGGUGGCUCAGAUGGUAAAGAAUCCGCCCAUGCUGCGGGAGACCUGGGUUCGAUCCCUGGCUUGGGAAGAUCACCUGAGGAGGGCACGGCAACCCACUCCAAUAUUCUUGCCUGGAGAAUCCCCAUGGACAGAGGAGCCUGGUGGGCUACAGUCCAUGGGGUGGCAAAGAGUCAGACAUGACUGAGCAACUAAGCACAUAUUAUUUAAUUCUCAACCAAUAAUCCUGCCAGAUGAGUAUUAGUUAUCAUCACCUUUAGGUGAGGAACUAAUUGAGAUUACCAGUCACACACAGCAGAGUUAGGAUUCAAACCAAGUCCAGUUGAUUCCAAAGUCUGGGUCUUUCCACCAAUCUAAAGAGGAUAAAACCUGCUUCAUCCACACUCUGCCCUGAUGUAAGAAUCUUGUUACUGCACAGACUUGGGGUAGAGAAGACUUCCGCUCCCUGGAGCCAGGAUCAUCCCUGUUUAGAUGAAACAGUUUCAACUCUCCAAGCUCUGGGAACCGUGGGUACCAACUGCAGACAGUUUGGACCAGCAAGUGGAAAAGAAUAAGAGAAGAGGAAUUAACUAGACCAUGUUGGAAAGUUAAGGGUAGAAACCAGGAUAACAAUUUUGGUCAGAGAUUUGUCAUCAUUUGGAAAUGUUUUAUCAGGCGAAAUCAGUGGAAAAGCUUAUGUAUCCAUCUGAACAAACUACUUCACAUAAUGAAGUCCUGUCUUUCUGUGGUACAGAUGAGGAAACCAAGGUUAUGAGAGAUAUGGUCACUGGCCCAAGAUCACACACUUAAUAAGUGAGUUUACUCAUUCCCUGUAUUAAAAUUUUUCUACAAGCCUGCAUUUGUGGGUAAAUCUGUUAUCUGGUUGUUAGAUGGUCCUAAUCUAGAUUAUCAAAGAAAAAUCAGUAUAACAAUCAAGAUGGACCUGGUUUCUACUCACAAAUAGUAUUUCUGUCCUAAACAGAUAACUUAAGUCUGUAUGAUGAGUUCCUUCCCCCAAAAUAUUUUAUUUUUUAAUUUUUAAAAGAUUUUUUAAUUUUGAUGCAGACUAUUUUUAAAGCCUUUAUUGAAUUUGUUACAAUAUUGCUCCCAUUUUAUGUUUUGGUUUUUCAACUGUGUGGCAUGUGGGAUCUUAACCCCUGGCCAGGGAUUGAACUUGCACCCCCUGCAUCAGAAGGUGAAGUCCCAAUCACUGGACCACCAGGGAGGUUCCCCUAACACAUUUUUAAAAUGAACUUUUGAAAAGUCUAACUUUUGAAUGGGAAAUUUUCCUCAACCAAGUUUAGUGUUUCAAGUGCAUCAUUUUAACGAUUAAUUCUUUAUGUGGACAUCUGCUUUUGCCCCCAUUUAACAUCCCUUCCAGCUCUGAAGGUUUGGGAUUCUAAAAAAUCCAGCCUAGCUUGCUUCCUAGGUUGGUUAGGACAAGAGCUGCACUCUGAGCCUUCUGCUUUCAAGUUAUGUGGCCAGUUGACUGUCUCGCUCACUGGCAGUAAUUCUAGAUGGCAACCAGAGAGCUUGCGAAGGGGGCUUUCUAAUCAACUCUAUGAGCUCUAGCCUGCUCAGGAUAGAAAUAUAAGAGGAGGAUUAUCUCUCUUGACGCUCUGAAGGCAGUAGAACAAAGGGUUAGAUAAAUGGACGAGCAUGAGGAGUUUGAGCUCCAAGAAGCCUGCUCCAGUUCUUUUGUUGCUAUUGUUGAGUCACUCAGUCGUGUUUGACUCUUUGUGAUGCCAUGUCGGCAGCACACUAGGCUUCCCUGUCCUUAAGCAUCUCCCGGAGUUUGCUCAAGACAUGAGCUUUCUCACUUUCAUCCAUCAGCAUCUGUAUAAGAUGUGAGCAAGGAGCACACAUUUGAUGGCAAGGACUGCGCAGCAAGCCCUGGGGACCAAACUGAGGUUACCCUCAAGGAAAGGGCUGCAGGGAGAGGGGAAUGUGAACCAUGGGGUUUUCGACUGAGACAAAGUGGUGACUGACUUUGUGUUUCCAGGGAGACUGUGGUAGACAACAUCCCACUUCACCCUCAUCCAGCCCAGACUCUCCUGUGGGAAUACUGUCAGCAUGGCUCACCAUCAUUUUCAAUAUCACGACCUCAGCUCUAGCAGGAGAUUGCCCCUGCUUUCACUCUGCAGUGUAUUGGAAACGUGGCACUAAAAAGGAUUUUGCCUGCCCACCGAGGCCAAAAGCAUUCCUGCAUCCUUAGUCACACAUUUGUUUGCAGUCAUCACUGUUUGCCACUCCCCAGAUGGAGAGCAAAUGGAACAACAGGGUCUUCUAGAUCCUGAAGUGACCAAAGACAUUCAGCAAGAAGGCUGAAUUUCUUCUUUCUAGAGAGACUGGCAACUAAGUUGAAGAGGGAAGGUGGGGAUAUACAUGAAGAUAGAGAAGGAAGAAAUCUUACAGACGGGGAAAAUCUAUCCUUAUAUGAGAGGAUAAUCCUCUCCUAGUAUCUAUGUGUAUCCUGGGCAACAAAUAUUCCACGACAACCUGGGAACAAAGUCAUUUGCUUUUUUUUCUCUCAGAUAAAUGACUUUGUAUUUCAGAAAGGUCAUGACCAUCAACCUCUUCUCACCACAGCAGCUUAACAAACCUCAGUGAAUCUUUACUUCCUUUGCACUAAAGAUAAAAGCACAGUACGUUUUUGUUGUAUUGAACUAUCUGCCUUUACUCAUGUCUCUCUCCCACAGCAAAUAGAGUAUUGCCUAAUGCGAUGGAGGGACUUCUACGGGUAGGCUCUGAAUUGACCAAAUUAGGGGUCCUUUCUCUGCUCCUAACACUCCCAGUGGAAUCCUCAGCUUUGUCUCCUGAAACCACUUCCUAAAAUGAGAAAGCUUCUUCCAUGAGUUAAGGAACGGAUCUGGGGACUAAAAAUACCUAUGGAAGUCUUUCAAGUUCUUAAUUACUUGUUUACCAAGGUUGGGGGUGAGUACAAGUUGUCUGGUGAGCAGACCACAGGCUAUGUUUACAUCUCUCCCUCCUAGAAUAGGGAAAGGGGAGACAGAAACUAAGAGUGGCCUGAUGAUAACACCACGGCCUCCAAAAUGUGCCUCAACAUUUCCCCGCGCUGUCAGUGGCAGAGCCUGUUAUACAGAAUUACAGGAUGGGCAAGGCACUUGGGAAGAUGUUAUCUAAACCCGUUCUUGAAGGGAGGAGAAAAUCAGACUCGGGGAGUGUGAUAUCUGAAGACCUCAGCAACCAGGAUAAAAGCCAGAUUCCUAAAUUACGAGUAUUCUGCUCUUUGUAGUUCAACACACUGGCUCAACUAAUAAAAAAAAAAAAUCCACCUUUCACUUAAACAGAUGGCUCAAAAUAAGUGAGUUAACAAAUAGAUUGCAGUAUAGACGGUUUGUAACUUCUUUCCCAGUUCCUCCCAGAAGAAAAUGUUUAGCUAUUUAACUUUUUUAAAGGUCAACAGAACAUAAUUUUAAGCAACAAUAGUAAAUUUUAGGCAAAAAUAUCACCUGGGACCCAGUAUCAUUUGAGAAGUAUCAGAGAAGCAGACUUGAUUGCUAUAUUAAGUCAAUCAGAUUAAGUUCAGCCAGCUGAAGUACUUUAGCCUAUUUGGUUUGCAAAGAAAAAAAAAAAAAAUCUCAUGAGUUAGCAUUAGCAGCUAAAAAUAAGUUGCAGGUUUCAUUUUCCGUUGUUCAGUACGGUUUUGAAACCAAAAGGUGCAAAACUAGAAGAUUCACCAACGCCUACUGAAGAUCAACAACUCAAAUAGUCAGUCCCCUUUCGGGCACGGCGUCCUGAUUACAACUCAUAGCCAGGUCCGAGACACGUACACUUAGGCCCCUCUCCCCAUGGUCUCUUGAGAUGACUGCCCCUAAUAAAUAAGAUGCGGCAGGAAAUUAGGGGCUGAGGCCGGUCCUGGGGGGACAGUGGCUUGUGUGUGUUUCUUGUCAUAUCCGGAUAGGAUGCCACGUAGACAGCGGCCCCAUAGGCACAGCUUUGAUCUCAGAUGGUGCUGGGGACCCCUCCACAAAACAAGUGAGUAAAUAAUGCUAGAAUUUCGCUCAGAUGAGGCCCUGAAGGGAACGAGCACAGCGGGGAGCCAUUGACCUAAAUGCCCCAGGGACUUGUGCAAUUCCCUACUGCGAACUCCGGCAGCUCACGAUAAAUUUAAUUUCAAAACUGUCUUCCCAGGGCCAAGUCUGGCAAAAAGGUGUUUGACAGAGGCGCAAAUGCUUCAGAGGGAAGGCAGCCAUCUCAGGCUGGGGCGUUCAGCUGUGGCACGAGGCCCGGAGAGAGCGGGGCUGGUGAGAGAAAGCCCUCCGCUGAAUGAGACGGGUGGGAGGGGGGCGCAGAGAAGGGUUAAUCUCCUUCCAUUAGAGGAGGGGCCCUUUGGUGAAGGUGAAGAGAAUAAUCUAUAUGAAGAGCAGGGAAGACAAAGAGCCAUUCCAGAGAAGAAAUUACUGUGCUGGGGCUGGAAGAAUGAUUCGUCCUAGAUUUUCACUGUGAGGCCGUUUUUUAGAUCUGAGUCUUCAUCUCGCUUUGAAGUUACAGCCUCUGGGUGGGGGAAGGGGGGAUCUUCACAUGCAAGACUUGAGCUUCGACUGCAUCUGAGAUGGGCCAACUCUGAUUGACUCAGAGAUGCAGAGGGUGAGGCCAAAGCCACUAGGACGGCGCCUUAGAAGCCGAACCAUAAAUUAGCAAUAAACAAUAGGAGUUGUUCACAAAAGAGAAGCCAGUGGCUGAAUCCCCCUUUUUUGGGGGUGAGGAACAACCUCCCUCUUUAAUUAAACAAACUUUUAAAAAGUUGUUUUUAAUAGUUUGGGGGGAACUAGUUUACAAUUCACAAGAAGUUGCAAAAACAGUAGAGUAGCUGUAUGAUGUCACCUAUCUUCUCAGAAUGAUAUUAUCUUGUAUCAACGCUACUGUAAUGCAUUCUCUAAACCAAGAAAGGAAUACUAACACUGGUACAACACUGUUAACUCAGGUACAGACUACUACUUCAGAUUUCAGCAGUUUUUACAUGCACUUGUGUGUGUGUCUAGAGUUCCAUGAAAUUUUAUCACAUGUGAAGAUUGGAGUAGCUGUCAACACAAUCCUGAUACAAAACUACACCAUCACCACAAAGAAACCCCCUGCACUACCCCACCAUAGUCACACCUUCCCCCAAGCCUAGCCCCUGGCACUGAUCUGUUCUCAGCACUGUAAUUCUGCCCCUUUGAUAAUGUUAUUUAAAUGGAAUCUUGCAGUCUGUAACCCUUUAAGACUGUCUUUCUCGCACCCAGCAGAACUCCCUUAUGAGCCAUUCAAGUUGGAUGGGAAGAUGUGACUUUUUAUUGCUGAAUAGUAUUCCAUGAUAUGAAUGUAUCCGUUUGUUAUCCAUUCACCCACUAAAGGACACUUGGCGGGUAUUCAGUUUUAAGCUAGAACAGAUAAAACAGCUAUGAAUAUUCAUGUGACUGCUAAGUCGCUUCAGUGAAGUCCAAUUCUUUGUGACCCUAUGGUGCCUCUGUCAAUUGAAUUCUCCAGACAAGAAUACUGGAGUGGGUUGCCAUGCCCUCCUCCAGGGGACAUUCCUGACCCAGGGAUCGAACCCACGUCUCAUGUCUCCUGCAUUGGCAGGCAGGUUCUUGACCAUUAGUGCCACCUGGAAGCCCCAUUUUUGAAGUUACUUAGGUUCAUUUGUGUAAACCUACUGACUCGAUAGGCAUGGGUUUGGGUAGACUCCGGGAGUUGGUGAUGGACAGGGAGGCCUGGCGUGCUGUGAUUCAUGGGGUCGUAAAGAGUCGGACAAAACUGAGCAACUGAACUGAACUGAACUGAACUGAAGUUAUCAUUUCUCUUCUGUAAAUAUCCAAGAGUGUAUGUGUAUGCUAACCUUUAUUAAAAACUAUCAAACUCUUUCAGAGCAGUGCACCAUUUAUACUCCUACCAGCAACGUGUGAGUGAUCCUCUACACCCUCGCCAGCAUUUGGUAAUAUCAGUAUUUUUUUUUUUAUUUUAGCCAUCCUGAUAGACUCAUCGGGGCUCAUUUUGAUGGUUCCCAGUCAAGAUGGCAGUCACUUGUGGGGCCUUCAGAGCUUGACUGGUGUGGCUUCAGGUCUCUCUCACUGUUCUAGCUUUCCAAAUACUGUCUACAUAGUAAUGUGUGCUGUUCGGCAUUUUGAUGAUGGAAAACGAGGCUCUUGAUACCUGAGGGUGAGGCCUCAGGUUUGUCCAGUUGCUCCUGACAUCAGUAGUAGGACUUCACCAUCUGGGAGUGUUGGGUUUCUUUAAGGCAGUAUUUCUUGGCCCAGCAGGCAGACUUGAUACCAGUGAUGUUCACUCCCAUGGAGUAAUAUGAAGGCCAUGAUAUGACAGCCAUGGGGCGGGGACAGACUUUGCCUGGGCUGGGGUCUUUAGCCAGAGAAGCUUUAGCCAGAGACUGUGUAAGUGCUUUGUAUUCCUAGAGUUAGUACCUUAUUAGCAUGGGGUGGGGGGGGGGUGGUGGUGGGACACAGAGUCAGCAUAGACAGGUAAAGACAGGACCACCAGUGGCAUUUGUUGGAUGUCAGAGGCCCCACUGAACACUUCUUGCCCUUGGACCUCCUACUCUGUUGACUGCUCUAGACUCUCCUGCAGCAUGUGGACACCUUGUCUGGAUGUCAUGGACCUCUGAUUUCCUCUAACUCCAGGGAGUUAGAUUUGAGGCAAUGCUAUCACCACCACAGGGAGCUUCCCAACCUAGGGAUCCAGGUCCUGCCAGCAAGUAGAAUUCCAUCUGAGUAGCAGACGGUGCCUCAGCCAAGGAAGGUGUUCAGAUGACCAGGGAAAUGGGCUUUGAAAAGGGCCAACCCCAGAGGGAUGACUCAAACUGCCCCAGCCAUGUCUGGAAAGUCAGCGUCCAUCUGUUGUACCCCUGAUUCAAGGGAGGUUGUGGGCCUUCCCAGAACCCAUACUCAUCAAGAUCCUGCUUCCACACAUUUGGCCAGGAGAUCAAGAAUCAGGAGGGCAGUGAUCCUGCAUGAGGACAGCCAAAAGAUAAUGGAGACCCUGCACAGAAGCAGGGAAGCUUGGUGAUCCUAGGUGGAUUCCCUCAUGCUUCUGUAUGGAGGACGGAUGCUGUGAAGGUGCUCCUCUGGGUUCUGGCUCUUGUGCUUCAUCUGGUGCAUUCACAGGAGAUGCAUGUGAACUUGGGCAUCUAGAUGGAAUCUAGAUGGUGUCUUACAGAACCUAAUCAUGAACUGGGGACUGUUGGGGGCUGAGCAGUCUGUGGAGGCUGAACUUGAGGCUGAACCUGAAAGCCAAAUGAUGGCAGUCUGAUGACUUUGAGAAGAGGUAUGCAGAUGGGAUGGACAGCCACACUUCCUCUUCAAGGUGGUGAGAAUUUUAGAAUUUGGUUGUUGUUUGUUCACUAUGUUCUCUGGUGUAACAGAACAUUUUCCAGGUUUCCAUUCUUGGGGACCUCUUCUCUGACUCACCGCUCCAUUUGGUCAUGUGCUCUUACUUACCUCCCAUCAGAAGGCAGCCAAGCACAUAGCACCUUUCAGAUACAAUGAGGUAGGUGGAGAUGGGGGCAGUACUUUGCCUGACCAUGAAUUUGGGCAGUGAGACUCCAUCCUUAAGGCUGAACCACGGCAGCGCCCCUCAGCUCUGGCUUUGUUUUUCCACUCAUGCCUCCUGUGACGUAACAUUUGCCCACAGUGUGAAUCUUGCUCUGUCCCUGCUCUGUUCUCUUGGCUUCUGACUCUGGAACCCACCUCCUACUUGGCUCUUAUGGCUUGGAUCCACCUGGCUGCCCUACGUCUUCCUCGGACUAAGUGUUAUCAUCUCGGUGCUCAGGGCACAGGUUAGUCUCUUAUGGUGUCCCUCACAGGGUCUGGGCUGCCCACACGUGUCCUGAGAUAUGCCCUGCCUAUCAGAAGGCAGAUAAACAUUCUCUGGUAGAACCAGGGGCUCACUUUAGGAGUCAGUCUUCUCACAGUGCCUUGUCUCUACUACUGUAACAGAGAAGAACAAAUCUGACCCCAUAUUGAAGCUAUUCCUCCAGCGCUAACACUUGCACUCUGUUGCCUGUGCUUAGGCAUGCUGGCUCAGCACUUUGUGAAAAAGAAUGCUGCCAAUAGGCCAAAAUGUACACGAUAUCCCAUUCUCAAGACUGUGACCUUUAAAAGUGUAACACUUCUGCAUUCAUAUAGAGAUAAAAAGUUGCAUAAUAGAGAAUAAUGUUUGUCUUGCUGGAGGUUUACAGGAACAUUGUGACCAGAUCUAUGUGGAAGGCUGCAAGAACAAAGGAUUCCAACAUUGAGACGUUUGCAGCAACCAGUCAAAUCUGUUCCUGUUUUAGUAUAAAAGAAGCCUGAACUCUAACUUGGGUAAGACAGUUGCUGGCUUUCUGAAUAAAGUUGGUAUUCUUUGACCCAACAACUUAUCUCUCUUAUUAUUGUCCUGUUGUGCAG